UCUCUCUCAUUUAUGGUUUGAUUUUUGGCAAGGGUGCCAAGAUCAUUCAGUGUGGGAAGGAUAGUCUUUUCAACAAAUGGUGUGGGAAAAACUGGGUGUCCACAUGCAAAAGAAUG